UUUUGAAGGCUGCUGUCUAUUUGAGCUCGUCAGUCUGUGUUGGUAAUCCUGUCGAACGCGGCUUUAAAAAAAAACAUUGUGUAGUGGAGCUGCAAAAGUGCUGCUCUCCACUUUCUGGAGGACCAAAUUUUGAAAUCAGUGGAAUUUGAGUAUGAUAGCUAAAGAGAUGGAGAUUAGUUCCGGAUUACAUAUUCAAACUAAAGGCAACCGUAGUAUGGCACUCCUGAUAGGGAGAUGAGUCCAUCAUGCAUGAUGAUGUAUACAGGUAAGAGAGUCUUGCGUUAGCUAGCUACAUUUUCAGAUAUUACACGUUUCAAUUUUGACAAAGUGGAUUCAUUUCAAAGCUAAAGUGUACUGUUAGCUAGCUAAUGUUAGCUGGCAGGCUCCCUAGCUGACGUUAUUAUUUGUUUCCCAGAGCCGUUUGCUUUUCUAGUUAGAGCCUAAUGUUAGCUAGCUAACAUUGGACCUGGUUGGUUAGCUCCAUAGCACUGUGGCAUUGCUGGCACUUUGUGAAUUGUUGUUUAACUAGCUAAUGUUAGCUGGCUGGCUUGUUAGCUAACGUUCUGUGACCUGUGUGUUCUUAAGCUUAUUUUUUUUACCUAGCUAGGUUCAUUGUUUCGCUAGCUACACUACCGUUCAAAAGUUUGGGGUCGGAAUCCCGGAGUCGCCUCUUCACUGUUGACAUUGAGACGGGCGUUUUGCGGGUACUGUUUAAUGAAGCUGCCAGUUGAGGACUUGUGAGGCGUCUGUUUCUCAAACUAGACACUCUAAUGUACUCUUGGUCAGUUGUGCACCGCUGUUUCCCACGCCUCUUUCUAUUCUGGAUAGAGGCUGUUUGCGUUGUACGAGAUCUUCAGUUUCUUGCAAAUUUCUCACAUGGAAUAGCCUUCAUUUCUCAUAACAAGAAUAGACUGAUGGGUUUCAGAGGAAAGUUCUAUUGUUUCUGGCCAUUUUGAGCCUGUAAUCGAACCCACAAAUGCUGAUGCUCCAGAUACAACUAGUUUAAAGAAGGCCAGUUGUAUUGCUUCUUUAAUCAGAACAUCAGUUUUCAGCUGUGCUAACAUAUUUGCCAAAGGGUUUUCUAAUGAUCAUUUAGCCUUUUAAAAUUAUAAACUUGGAUUAGCUAACACAACGUGCCAUUGGAACACAAGAGUGAUGGUUGCUGAUAAUGGGCUUCUGUACGCCUAUGUAGAUAUUCCAUAAACAAAUAUGCCGUUUCCAGGUACAAUAGUCAUUUACAAUGUCUACACUGUAUAUCUGAUCAAUUUUAUGUUAUUUUAAUGUACAAAAGGUGAUUUUCUUUCAAAAACAUGGACAUUUCUAAGUGACCCCAAACUUUGGAACAGAAGUGUAUAUCUCUUAAGCUAAAGUGUACUGUUAGCUAGCUAGCUAACGUUAGUUGGCUGGCUCCCUAGCGGACAUUACUAUUUGUUUUCCCAGAGCUGUUUGCUUUCUAGUUAGAGCCUAAUGUUGGCAUUGUUGGCGCUUUGUUCAUUGUUUAACUAGCUAGCGUUAGCUGGCUGGCUUGUUAGCUAACAUUACGUGAUGUGUAUACAAUACCCGUUGAAUAUGGCCGGUGUCAGUAAACGUCUGCAAAAUAGCGUAAUGAAAUUGUUGCCAGCAGAACUGGUUAGGUUGUUUUCAUGUUAUCCAGAGGUAAACAAAUCAUCGGUCAGAGCGUCAAGUGUGCGCUCCGAGAGUGAAACAAGAUGGGUGGGGCUAAAGCUUAAGAGGGUGUGAACAAUGCUGAAUGGGUGUAGACAAAGAAGAUCUCUUCACUCGAUACCAAAACGUUCAAAGGCGAUUUUCUCAAAAGUGAGUUUACAAGUUGAUCAACUUUCAAACCAGAAUUACUUUUCCAUUUUCCAUUUUCUCAAAUGCAGUGUAUGAUAUACCAUUUUGUAGCUCUGAGUCUCUACUUUUAUCCAAUGUAAAAAACACCAUUUCACAUUUUGCUACAUGAGACCAAAACCAGGUAUUUUGUCACAAAUAUGUUGCUACUACUCUCAAUAACAUUGUUGCCCUGAAUUUAAAAGGGGCUUUCGACAAAGGUAAGUGGGAAUAAGUUGUGAAUGACUACUUUCUGGAGGACAAUCAUGCCAUGCUGACUCUCUCUUACUCUGAAAAUGAAUCAGUCGAUGAAGAAAUCCCUGAUUUUGGUAAAAACAUUUUCAUUGAAGACGACAUUGUAGAUUAACCUAUGUUUAUGAAGUGUGUGUAACGUUAGUGAUGUUUUCUCAGUAUGCCAUUUCGCAUUGCUAGUUAUAGCCUAAUGUUAGCUAGCUAACAUUUAAUCUAUUUGGUUAAUUUUAGCUAGCAAUCGGUCUGUAUUGCUAGUAAUGUAACUAUGGAUUGGGAUUUUAGUUUUUUUUUUUUUAGCUAGCUAACGUUAAUGUGACGUCUAAACAAAAGACCCCAAGUUAAAGCUUGUUGUUAGCUAGCUAACGUUAGAUGAGGUUAGAUGGCUGGCUUGCUAGCAACAUAAAGAUUAACUUACAUGUAUAAAGUAUGUGUAACGUUAGUGAUGUUUUCUCAGAAUGCCAUUUCACAUUGCUAGUUAUAGCCUAAUGUUAGCUAGCUAACAUUGAACCUAUUUGGUUCAUUUUAGCUAGCUAAGUCACAAUUGGUUUGCAUUGCUAGUUAAAGCUUGCUGUUAGCUAGCCAGCUGACGUUAGAUGGCUGGCUAGCUAGCUAACAUUACGUGUAUGAACUGUGUGUAGUGAUGUUAUCUCAUAAUGCCAUUUUGCAUCUAUUGUAUAAUAAUGCUAAAAUAUUGGAGUCUGGAAAGUGUCUUUCAGCAUCGGUAGAACAUGCCUGACUCUCCUCCACCAGUCAUACAAGGAGAAUGGUCUAAUGCCUUCCAUCAAAAAGAGAGCUGGCCCAACACAGGUUACACCUGAAGCAUGAGGACUUGCAGCGAGUGGUGAACUUCCUCAACAACUACGCAGAGGAUAAUGCAAUAGUAUUACCAGGACGCCACCCAAGGCACAAAGACUUUGGUGGAAAGCUGCUGCCAUCCCAUGUGACAAAAGCAGCAGUGUGACAUCUCUACAAGGAAUCGAUGACACCAGUUGCUGGUUGGACUGGAGGAUGGUACGGUGCUGGUGGAAAGCUAUAGCUGGCAACACCUGACUCCGUACUUCAGGCCGCUGCCACAGAUCAAGCAGUAGCAGCACUUCAAGUGAGGUUAUUCUUCUUAUCUAAACUUAAGAGGUGAAUUGAUGAGGUGCAAGGUUGUAUUGUUUCUUUUUUAGUUAUUUCCUGUUUUACAGCUUCGAUGCUCUGGAGCCUGAUGUUGUUGUCGCCAAGGAGCGUUUGGACUCAGUCGGGACCAGGUUUCAGCUGUUGCGCAAGGCUGACAUCCUUCCUCCCAUAUAUGGUCUGCUUGUACAAGCACCACCUGGACUGGACACAGCCAGACAAACGUAUCUUUUUGAGAAGAUCAGGGAGUUUUGCGACGAAGAGGCUAUGGACAUCACAUGCCCUGCACCAAAAACAAGGACAGAACAGAAACAGGCUCUCCAAAUAUAGAUUCCCUUGUUCAUGCGUGGAUCGGCAGGACCAGUUAUCAGCACUAUCUGCAGUGCCUCUAUUAAAAUGAAUCUCUCCUAACACACACUCCAUACCUUGCUGCUACUAUUUUUUCGAUCCUGCUGCUCAGCCACUUUACCCCUGAUUGUAUGCAGAUAAAACUACCUCAUCCAUCACUACUGUCCGUGUACAUACUGUAUAUUAUUUUAUUUAUACUGACACUAUGUAUUUCUGAUAUUGCUACUAUGCAAAUAACCAUUUGGCUGUCCGUUUACACUUUCUGUAGAGACCCAUCCACUUAGCAAGACAGCAAACUAUUGAUAUAUAAAAUGAACAUGUUGUCGUAACAUGAUUUUGUGACAUACCAUAAAAAUAUCAUGUGACCGUA